rnacentral:lncRNA from 1 species
AAAGAGGGGGCUGCGGGCUGUAGUGUGUGUGUAUAUAUAUAUGUGUGUGUGUGUGUGUGUGUGUGUGUGUGUGUGCAGUAAAGAAGGGACGAGAGAAGGUGACUACAAAUCUUGGGAAAAUUACAUAAACAAAACGGCGGCCCACAAAACAAUCGGAAUUGGUUUUGAAGAAAAACGUUGGUAGGUGCCGGAGAUUAUCACAUGCCAACUGGAGGGGAAUUCAUAUAGAGAGAAAAGACGUCUCCUUGGAGUUGAUAUAUUUUCCAUACAUGCUACUCGAGACAAAGAGAAGGGGCUGCUUGCUGUAGAAUUAAUUCUUUAUACACACAAUUGAAAGAGGCAGUUUUGAGAAGAAAACAAUCAGUCAAAGUUGAAGAAAAAUACACACAUGGGCAAAGUCGAGAAUACUUUUGGAUUUAAUCGCGUUUCGUCAAUUUCUUGGUGAUGUCG